UACGGGGGGGGGGCAAGCGUUGUUCGGAAUUACUGGGCGUAAAGGGCUCGUAGGUGGCCAACUAAGUCAGACGUGAAAUCCCUCGGCUUAACCGGGGAACUGCGUCUGAUACUGGAUGGCUUGAGUUUGGGAGAGGGACGCGGAAUUCCAGGUGUAGCGGUGAAAUGCGUAGAUAUCUGGAGGAACACCGGUGGCGAAGGCGGGUCUCUGGGCGAGAAACGUGACGCUGAGGAGCGAAAGCGUGGGGGAGCGAACAGG
rnacentral:rRNA from 1 species